rnacentral:rRNA from 1 species
UAGCGUUGCUCGGAAUUACUGGGCGUAAAGCGCACGUAGGCGGCUCUUUAAGUCGGGGGUGAAAUCCUGGAGCUCAACUCCAGAACUGCCUUCGAUACUGAAGAGCUUGAGUUCGGGAGAGGUGAGUGGAACUGCGAGUGUAGAGGUGAAAUUCGUAGAUAUUCGCAAGAACACCAGUGGCGAAGGCGGCUCACUGGCCCGAUACUGACGCUGAGGUGCGAAAGCGUGGGGAGCAAACAGG